rnacentral:rRNA from 1 species
AGUGAACGCUGGCGGUAGGCCUAACACAUGCAAGUCGAACGGCAGCACAGUAAGAGCUUGCUCUUACGGGUGGCGAGUGGCGGACGGGUGAGGAAUACAUCGGAAUCUACUUUUUCGUGGGGGAUAACGUAGGGAAACUUACGCUAAUACCGCAUACGACCUACGGGUGAAAGCAGGGGAUCUUUGGACCUUGCGCGAUUGAAUGAGCCGAUGUCGGAUUAGCUAGUUGGCGGGGUAAAGGCCCACCAAGGCGACGAUCCGUAGCUGGUCUGAGAGGGUGAUCAGCCACACUGGAACUGAGACACGGUCCAGACUCCUACGGGAGGCAGCAGUGGGGAAUAUUGGACAAUGGGCGCAAGCCUGAUCCAGCCAUACCGCGUGGGUGAAGAAGGCCUUCGGGUUGUAAAGCCCUUUUGUUGGGAAAGAAAAGCAGCAGGUUAAUACCCCGCUGUUCUGACGGUACCCAAAGAAUAAGCACCGGCUAACUUCGUG